ensembl:lncRNA
AAACAAUGGAAGUGACUAGUUACAUAGUUAUUGGUGAUAACAAGGGAAGUUACUUGGAAUGAACAGCACACUGCUAUAUCCUGAAUACAUCUUUGCUAUGCUUUCAUGGAAAUCAAGGCACAGUGCUUUUGCGUUGGCAAUAAUGAACCUAAUGACCAGUUGUUGGUCCUAGGACCUAUUGUAGGACUAGCAAUUGUGUUUUUUUCAGGUCUAGACAAGGCAAUUACAUGCUAUGUAUUACAGGGACUUUCUAACAAAAUUGAUGAUUGAUACUCGCUCAGCUUGGAUACUAAGACAGAUCUUCAGAUGGUGUAAGUGGAUGUAGUUCACUUCUAAAACAUGGGUCCAAUAUGGAAAGACUGAAGAACCAGUUCAUUUGCUUUAUGUACUUCACGUGGUCUGUGCUAUAUGAUAACCUCAUACAAAGAAGAAAAUAUUCUUUUAAACAGUAAAUUGUAUUCAGAUUUUUUUUUUUUUUUUUGGUUAGAUUGGAUCAUUCUCUGGAGAUAUUCAAGACCUGUCUGGAUGCCUACCUGUGAAACCUGAUGUAGGGAGCCUGGUUCGGCAGGGGGAUUGAACUACACGAUCUCUGCAGGUCCCUUCCAACAAUUCUGAACAAUUCUACAAUUCUGUAAUUCUGUGGUUCUGUGAUCAUCUUUGCAGGAUAUGGUUUGAACACUCUGUAGAAAUAUCUGUAAAGCAGCUAAGUGCAUUCUGGGCUAGAUAUCUGUGUGUCUAAUUUCCUUGCAAUACAGAAAUAAAGGCUUUACAACAUGCUCCAUUACUGUGGUAUGCUAAAUUUGCUUAUGAAUUUUAAGCAUUUGGCCCAGUGAAUUCCAAUUUAAUUUUAACAGUACCAGCACAGACUACAGGAUGAUCUAAACAAAUUAUGUCCCACCAAAGAAUCCAGGUAUGGAGUCAAUCCUGUCCUCACGGAAUCAAGUCUUAAAUCACUACAAUGGGAACACAGCUGAUUCUGAUUCAUUGAGUGUCAGCUGGCAUGGAAAAGUAUCAACACCAGUUACAUAGUACCCUGUUCCCUGUGUUACAUCUACUCUGAAUGUCUGCACUUCUCUUGUCAAAAUAAUCUCCAAUGGAAUCACUGCAAGCAUUUUUUCUACCUAUAUAUUGUCAUAUACUACUUGCCAGUUUUUCUUCUUUUUUUGUUUUGAUGGAAUACACAAAGAUCAGAACAUAACAGAAGGUGCUGAACAGUAUUUGUCCUUUUAUUCCUACACUGCUCAAAUAUUGUUUCACUAAAACUGGAACUUUUCACUCAUGGGAAAGAUUGAUCAAGAUCAGAGAGUACAUACUGAUAUGACUACAGAUAUUGUCAGUUUCAUGAGUGUAUGAAUUUUAAUUGUGCAUUUUGACAAAUGCAAAUUAAAGAACCUGCU